UACGGAGGGGGCAAGCGUUGUUCGGAAUUACUGGGCGUAAAGUGUGCGCAGGCGGCUUCGCAAGUCGAGUGUGAAAUCCCCGAGCUUAACUUGGGAAUUGCGCUCGAAACUACGGAGACUGGAGUGUGGCAGAGGAAGGUGGAAUUCCACGUGUAGCGGUGAAAUGCGUAGAGAUGUGGAGGAACACCGAUGGCGAAGGCAGCCUUCUGGGCCAACACUGACGCUCAUGACACGAAAGCGUGGGGAGCAAACAGG
rnacentral:rRNA from 1 species